GACGAACGCUGGCGGCGUGCCUAAUACAUGCAAGUCGAGCGCAGCGGCGGAUGGGUAAGUCACGCGUGGGUAACCUACCCUUAAGUCUGGGAUAUCAUUAGGACACACAUGCUAAUACCGGAUACUAAAGGAUGGACCUGCGAUGCAUUAGCUAGUUGGUAAGGUAACGGCUUACCAAGGCGAUGAUGCAUAGCCGAGUUGAGAGGCUGAUCGGCCACAUUGGGACUGAGACACGGCCCAAACUCCUACGGGAGGCAGCAGUAGGGAAUCUUCCACAAUGGGCGAAAGUCUGAUGGAGCAACGCCGCGUGAGUGAAGAAGGUUUUCGGAUCGUAAAGCUCUGUUGUUGGUGAAGCGGUACUCACACAAAAAGUCACGGCUAACUACGUGCCAGCAGCCGCGGUAAUUC
rnacentral:rRNA from 1 species